rnacentral:rRNA from 1 species
UGGGGGAUAUUGCACAAUGGGCGAAAGCCUGAUGCAGCGACGCCGCGUGGGGGAUGAAGGCUUUCGGGUUGUAAACCUCUUUCGCUAUCGAACAAGGCCCGCUUAGGGUGGGUUGAGGGUAGGUGGAGAAGAAGCGCCGGCUAACUACGUGCCAGCAGCCGCCGUAAUACGUAGGGCGCGAGCGUUGUCCGGAAUUAUUGGGCGUAAAGGGCUUGUAGGCGGCUUGUGGCGACUGCUGUGAAAACGCGGGGCUUAACUUCGGGCGUGCAGUGGGUACGGUCAGGCUUGAGUGUGGUAGAGGUGACUGGAAUUCCAGGUGUAGCGGUGGAAUGCGCAGAUAUCUGGAGGAACACCGAUGGCGAAGGCAGGUCACUGGGCCAUUACUGACGCUGAGGAGCGAAAGCAUGGGUAGCGAACAGG